UACGUAGGGUGCAAGCGUUGUCCGGAAUUAUUGGGCGUAAAGAGCUCGUAGGCGGUUUGUCGCGUCUGCCGUGAAAGUCCGGGGCUCAACUCCGGAUCUGCGGUGGGUACGGGCAGACUAGAGUGAUGUAGGGGAGACUGGAAUUCCUGGUGUAGCGGUGAAAUGCGCAGAUAUCUGGAGGAACACCGGUGGCGAAGGCGGCGUCCUGGACCAACACUGACACUGAGGAGCGAAAGCCAGGGGAGCAAACGGG
rnacentral:rRNA from 1 species